CAACUUUCAACAACGGAUCUCUUGGCUCUCGCAUCGAUGAAGAACGCAGCGAAAUGCGAUAAGUAAUGUGAAUUGCAGAUUUUCAGUGAAUCAUCGAUUCUUUGAACGCACCUUGCGCUCCUUGGUAUUCCGAGGAGCAUGCCUGUUUGAGUGUCAUUA
rnacentral:rRNA from 1 species